rnacentral:lncRNA from 1 species
AAACAGUCCCACCAUUGUUAUGUGUUCUGGAUAUUGUGAUUCACUUGUGCCACCAAGGAUUGAAUAUAACAGCUAUGAUAUGGUAGAUUGGGCUGAUACGUUUCUGAUUUCAUCUGAGGCUACUCAUUUGGUUCCUACCUCUCUUUGAUUUUCAUGAUGUCUGUUGCUGCAUUUUAUGUCACUUUUGGAGGUUCAAAAAUGGAUACAGGUUUUAGUCUAAUUGGAAGGUCACUUGCUACAGAAUAUGGAAGGUGUUAUGAGGCUAGUUGCGCAGAUUUUAUGUUACUUGCUUGGGGUCUAUGGUUUACAUGACUGUAUUACAAGCCAAUAUUCAAUGCUUUGUUUGUCUUUAGUUUUGUAAUUCAAACUCAAAUUGGUGAAUUUCCCGAUGUUGAGUUUGAGGGAGACUGUUAAGAAUAUUGAUUGUUAGCCAAAGCUCCCUUUAGUUAGUUACAUUUACCAUUAGGUGAUUAGUUUGUUAGAGUUGAUUAAUAGUUGGUUAA